rnacentral:lncRNA from 1 species
CCAAAAAUGCGUUGUUUUUAUUAGAAAUGACCAACCUUGGCCUCCACGACGAUGCAAAACAUGGCAAAACAGUAAGUUUUCUGUCUUUCUCUUUCUCUUUUCUUUGUUUCUUUAAAAAAAUAAAUAAAACGUACGAAAACGAAAAAAAGUAAAAACAAAAAAACUACCUUAAAAAAUGUUUGUAUUUGUUUUUGUAUUGAUUUUCUCAGUUU